GUGGAUUUCAUAGUAUUCAACGCAAAAUGCUAAGAUUGGCGGUGUAACCGACAACGAAGAGAGGCUCAAAAUGGAAUCGAAAAUGUUUCUUUUUAGAAGCCUGUAGUGGUAUUCAGUAAAGUUUUAACCAUGCUUUUUAACCAUGCUAUUGACUUAACUUUCUAUAAAUUUGUCUAGGCAGUACAGGACUUCUCAAUGAUGACCAAGCAUUUGGAUUUCGGUGGAUUCAACAACAAAACAGCUGUAACCCACUUAUUCACUUUAUAAAGAUCGUCAUUAAGUUUCUCAAAACAAUUUGGUAUUAGGUCUAUUCGGGUACUUUUCUAGUAAAAAUUUGCAGGAGAGAAUAAGAAUUUAGCUCUUUCGCACUCGCGCUCUCCUUUGCUAGCAAAUAAAGUACGCGAACGAUUUCCAGUAACAAUCUGUGCAAAUUUCCACAAAUUGUAGAGUACACGUACAUACUUAUUAUCGAUAGAAUCGUUGCGAUAGAUUUUAACGUCAAAGAAUAAAAAUUCAGUUCGGAAUAAAAUUCAGUUCGGUGCAAUCUAUUGGUGCCGUAUAUUUGAAGAAACUAAACAGAAUUACCAACAUCAACAAAAAUAGAUAGAUAGUCAAACUGGAUCGUAUGGUAUUUAUCUUUUUUGUGACAAGCUGUCGGUCCUUUGAAUAUAGCAGAAUAAAAAAAAGCUAAAUGAG
rnacentral:sRNA from 1 species